rnacentral:misc_RNA from 1 species
CUAACAAAAUUGAAAUAUAUUCUUCUUUUUUUUUAUUUUUUUUAAACAGCAUUAAAAAAAUAAAAAAAUAAUUAAAAAAAAACCUAAACUAGUUCUACCUAACACCACCAACAAAAAACACAUCGCAAAGCAAAAAAGAGCAGAGCAGACCAAGGAAACACUGCACAACCAGGUAUUUUCUUCCUCUCUCUCUCUCUCAUCUUUACAUUCUAUCGUCUACUCUCUUCUCCUCUCAGUCUCACGCUGUGCAACCUGGUUAGACCCGCAAUCAGUGGGUUUUUUCUCUUUUCUAUUUUUUUUCUUCUUUUGUACCCUUCUUCUCUUAUUCUCUUCAGGGUGCUCAACCUACCAGACUUCCAACACUUCAAUUUUUUUUCUUUUUAAUUUUUUUUGUUG